UGGAAGCAAAGGAAGCCACUCU
rnacentral:piRNA from 1 species